rnacentral:lncRNA from 1 species
UUGCAGCGAUAUACGUUAAUCAACAAGAAUAAAAGAGUGAUAAUGAUACAAAAAUUUUUAUGUAGAAAACCCUUUUGAAUAAAGGGAAAAUCACGACCCCGAGAGGAGCAACUGAUAUCACUAUAGUAAGAAAUUUUACACUUUGUAGGCCCGAGCAAAAUAUUACAAAGACCAUUACAACACUCAAAAAAAAUAACGCUCUUUUGAUAUCCCACCUCUCUACAAUAUCGCUCACACUCUCUGUUUUCCUCACAGACUAUUUUCUUAUACCCUGUCUGUGAUGCCUCACUCUUUCUUUCUCUUUUUAUUGAUGCGUUUGAAAGAAGUGAAAGAGCGCUCCUUUUAUAGGUGAAAAUACGUAGCCUCCAAG